UGGCGCGCUCAGUAGUCGAAUUGUGACUGUCGUGAUGGUACGUCGUGUGAUUUCGAUAUAACUUCGCAAACUUUCCCCUGCUGGACGACUGUGUAAGUAAGAUCGAAGAUGUAUCUGGAAUCGGAGACAUUUCUGUACCCGCGGAACUGAAGCAAGCAAUUGCCACGCACUUAGAUGAGCUUGCAAAGUCUCUCGACGGAUACUUCCCUACAAGAGAGUCAUAUCCAGCAUGGGUGAGACAGCCGUUCACGUUUAGUGUUGAGACAACAGAUGUCAAUGAUGAAUACCUCGAUGAAAUCAUUGAAAUUCAGCAGAGCCAGGUUCAACAGCAACUCUUCAGAACAACAACGCUCUCAACGUUUUGGUGUCAACAAAUGCGUUCCUGAUGCACAGCAGACAACGUUGCCUCUGUCUGAAAACACGGGACCGUGUGAAUUCCAGUAACAUAGUCCAAUCCACCGUUCAUCAGAGGAGUGCAAUGUGUGACCACGUGGAGAUAGUGGUGAAGUUGAAAAUACCAUCAAAACUUAUCUGCCUGAAUCCAGACUCUAAAAUGGGCAGGAGAAUACAGACUAAGUGGAACCUGAAGAACUGAGCCAAUCAUGAUAACACAAACUAUGUCAUGAUGAUAUAACUGACUGUACUGACCAAAAAGUACAUGUAACUAUGUUGUCUUUCUCUGCAGUUUCAGGUAACUUUACUUCUUCUACUGACAAUGCAAUUAGAAAGUGUAUUUCAGAGCUAAAGGGUAAUGCCCAAAGCGUGUAACAACAUUCUAGAACAUCUCUGCUAUGACAAGCCUGUAACAACAUUCUAGAACAUCUCUGCUAUGACAAGCCUGUAACAACAUUCUAGAACAUCUCUGCUAUGACAAGCCUGUAACAACAUUCUAGAACAUCUCUGCUAUGACAAGCCUGUAACAACUUUCUAGAACAUCUCUGCUAUGACAAGCCUGUAACAUCAUUCUAGAACAUCUCUGCUAGGACAAGCCUGUAACAACAUUCUAGAACAUCUCUGCUAUGACAAGCCUGUAACAUCAUUCUAGAACAUCUCUGCUAUGACAAGCCUGUAACAUCAUUCUAGAACAUCUCUGCUAUGACAAGCCUGUAACAUCAUUCUAGAACAUUUCUGCUAUGACAAGCCUGUAACAUCAUUCUAGAACAUCUCUGUUAUGACAAGCCUGUAACAUCAUUCUAGAACAUCUCUGCUAUGACAAGCCUGUAACAUCAUUCUAGAACAUCUCUGCUAUGACAAGCCUGUAACAUCAUUCUAGAACAUCUCUGCUAUGACAAGCCUGUAACAUCAUUCUAGAACAUCUCUGUUAUGACAAGCCUGUAACAUCAUUCUAGAACAUCUCUGCUAUGACAAGCCUGUAACAUCAUUCUAGAACAUGUAAUGGGAAUUGUAAUGCUUGUGCUUUUCUUCUAACUCAUUUCUGUGUUCAUGCAAGUGACCGACUGAACCAAUCCUCACUAUCAGUAUCUGCAAUUUGGCAGUACGCCCAGACCUUGUUUUGAGAACGAAAGAUAUCUCAGUUUCAAGGUCUCAGCUUAGAGAGAAGAAGCCUCGUGAGGUAUUGGUCUGUCACAUGUUAAGAACCAGUAUUUGUCAUUCACAUGAAUGAAACAAAACGGUAAUGAUUCAUUAAUUAUGCUAAAUCAUGCACAUAUAAUGUGUCUGUGUAUAGCUGUAUAUAAGACAACUGCUGGGACUGCCUCAGGAGAGCUGAUUGACAUGUGCAUUGAUUUGGUUGGAACUUCUCCAGCUCGCUGACAAUAAACAAUGAUUAAUAUUAA